rnacentral:lncRNA from 1 species
CGCGGGGGAAUCGCAGUGAGCAGCGCGGGGCGAGGCCGCCGCGGACGCCCCGUCGGAUGUGCCCUUCGCUGGGCCGAGCGGCGCAGGGUUGGAGAGGGAAGCGCUCGUGCCCACCUUGCUCGCAGGUGCCCUUGCUGACCUGGGUGAUGGCCUUCUCCCCGCGGCUCUCGGCCCUCUGGCUGGCGGCGCGCAGCUGGCAGCCGCUCGGGCUGAGAUGUGUGUGUGAACUUCAAAGGCUUUAAAAAAGAAGGUUGAAGAUGACUCACUACCACCAUGUCCAACCUCCAAUUUGAAGGAAAAUGGAAAGGGGAAAGUUGAACCAACAGUACCUUUAUGAAGGCAUGGCCUGAAAAUGGAAGAUUAUCACUUCUCUUUGCAUCACACUGGCAGGGGACUGUUCUAAGAACUUAUAAGAGUUAAGAAAAAAAAUUAUCUUCAAACAUCAUUACCUCUGGAAAGCUCUUCCUGACCCACAAACUAGGUUGGGUUCAUGUGCUACAAGCUCUCACAGGACCAUGUUUCCUUCAUUAGGGCAUUUAUGGGAGGCAAAAUAACUUUUACACAAUCAUGAGCUCCAAAAGGGAGACGAAUAAGAGCUGUACAAAGUAGUUGCCAAGGUAACAUCUUGCUGAUCAGAAAGGGGCGACAAUUGGGUUUUAUGUAGACGCAGUGGGAGAAUGAAACAUAAUCUUCAGUGUGGAAAUGGAUGUGGACGCGGUGCUGCUGCCUGAGAUUAGCAGGAAGCAAUUCUUUUCCCAUUUGGAGAGACCCCGGUGAGACCUGAUCAACUAGCAACAUGCGGAAGUCACACCAUUAAGUCUUCCAAUUUGCUAGCAGCAAAUCAAUGAACUCUGAUAGCUGCUGCCCUAAGCUAGCAUCCAGGGAACUGUGGACAAGCUAUUUGAUACCUGAAUUUUAGUGAAGGAAAGUUAAAUUUUUUCUUAAAGCAGGGUGGGAGUGGGGUUGUGUGGGGAAGAUUAUAUUAAGCAGUGAGAGAAGACAGAUGGAGUUUUGUAGAAAGAGAGCUGGUUGUUUUAAAUUGUAUCUUAAAUUUAUUGUAGAGCUAUUGGUAAUUAGUGUUUUGUUGUUGUGUGUUUAUACCAACCAAUUAAUAAGAAAGGCUUUUAUUUUUAUUUCAUCAGUUGGAGCUGAACUUUAUUUUUUAUUAUAAAUAUAAGGCAUUAUUCUAGGGCCUGGCAAACAUAGGCAGCCACUUUUUUUUUCUGGGGAAGAUUAUACCUUGGUAUGUUUUCACCACUGUGAGAUGAAAAUUUGAGAACAGUGAGAGACAGAUGCUUGCCUGAGGAGUUUUAUUUUCCCUUUAAUCCUUAUCAAAUAUCCAGAUAUUACCUAUAUUGCCUUGAUCUGCUGUCUGAAGGCUUUGUUGGGCCAGGAGAUGGUUUUGCAGCAGCAGAAGACUAUGAACUGGGCUUUGGGAGAUAGGAUCUCUGGUUGUAUUCUGGCUAUCCACACUCUGAAAGAGGACCGUGACAGGGAAUUUGAGUAUCCUACCAAUAUACCUACAAAAGGAUGAAAGAAGAUUUGGAGUCAAGGGAAAACAAGGGCAAUAAAAUAGAAGCUUACCACCUGCUCUCAUACAGUUGCUAGAAGAGGACUGCAUAUUUGGUUCUAAGUUUCUGGAAGAUAAAGCCAAAAUAGAAACACAACUCAUUAUAAAAUUUUGGUGUAUCCAUAAAAUAAAAACAAAUGACCUGUUUGAGAAAACUCUUUCUGAGUUUGAGCUCUAAAAGGAACUUCUCUAUGGAAUCCUUAGAAUAUGAGAAGGCUGUGAUAUAGGGGAGAAACCCCUUGACAUUCCUAUAUUGGGUUUAGGUCUAAUUUCACUCAGUAGUUUUUAAAUGUUACUCCUUGUAGACAGAUGAUGAGACGCCAAAGUACAGCUGAGUGAAAGCGGUUCCUUUGAAAACUAAA